ACGGGAGGCAGCAGUGGGGAAUAUUGCACAAUGGGGGAAACCCUGAUGCAGCGACGCCGCGUGAGUGAUGAAGUAUUUCGGUAUGUAAAGCUCUAUCAGCAGGGAAGAAAAUGACGGUACCUGACUAAGAAGCCCCGGCUAACUACGUGCCAGCAGCCGCGGUAAUACGUAGGGGGCAAGCGUUAUCCGGAUUUACUGGGUGUAAAGGGAGCGUAGACGGCAAUGCAAGUCUGAAGUGAAAGCCCGCGGCUCAACUGCGGGACUGCUUUGGAAACUGUAUAGCUUGAGUGUCGGAGAGGUAAGUGGAAUUCCCAGUGUAGCGGUGAAAUGCGUAGAUAUUGGGAGGAACACCAGUGGCGAAGGCGGCUUACUGGACGAUAACUGACGCUGAGGCUCGAAAGCGUGGGGAGCAAACAGGAUUAGAUACCCUGGUA
rnacentral:rRNA from 1 species